rnacentral:lncRNA from 1 species
AUUUAAUGAAUCUCACCCAACACCUUAAUUGCAAUGACCAAGCCUUAGAUCUAGAAACUGACAUUGAUCAAGGGAACAAAAUACAACAAAUCACUUUAGCAGGGAAAUUAAUCUCUGCCAAAUCUUUCAGUAGUAUGGUUGUGAAGGCAGUUCUCGAGAAAGCAUGGAAUAUCAAAGCGGGCUUCAAAGUUUCUACCAAAGGCAACAAUAUCUUUGUUUUUUCCUUUGUUCAUUCAAAGGAUGCAAUGUUUGUUUUCCAGAAUAGACCAUGGUCUCUUAAUAACAAUCUGAUUGUCAUUCGGGAUUGGCCAGCUGACCUCGCUUUUGAGGAUCUCUCUUUCAAUCUUUCCCCUUUCUGGGUUCAGGUGUACGGAUUGCCACAAAAUAAAAUGACUCCCUCAAAUGCUCAAACUAUAGGGAAUUUCCUAUUUCCUUGGAGGUUUCACGGAGCAAGAUAGCUCCUUUACAAAGGAGAAUGAAGCCUCACAUAUGAUGAGAAUUAAAGCACUUUUGAAUGUUGACAAACCCUUUAUUAUGGGGAGCCUCACAUAUGAUGAGAAUUAAAGCACUUAUGAAUGUUGACAAACCCUUUAUUAUGGGGAUCCAUAGCAAAAGAAAUGAUGAUUUCAUUGGCUGAGUAAGCUUUAAAUACGAACGGUUGCCAAACCUGUGCUUCGGUUGUGGGACAGCGGGUCAUUUUUGUAGCACAUGCCCUUUUUUUAUGGUGAGAACGACAAACAUAUGGUCCUUGGUUAAUAAUUUCUUCUCCAAAAAAGAAAUUCUCCAUGUUCUCUCCUUCAGCCUCUCUUCCAAAUUCAGAUGACUUCGUUCUAGUAUCCCUAUCCCAAAUUUUCUCAAAUCCACAACCUUUCAACCUGUCUUCUAGUUCGAAAACUGCCUCAUCAUCACAAUCCAUCUCACUCCCUUUCAAUACCCAAAAGCAUCUUGUUUUUCCUCUAACCCCUUAUUUUUUUCACCUUCCCCCUUCUACCAUGAAAAACAACCAAACAACUUUUUAUUUUCAAAAACCAGCUUCACAAUUUUUUUUUUCCAAUCCAAAACUAGUUCUUACCAACAAAGGAAAAGAAUUUUCAAUUGAGGAAGAAAACCACAGGUUUCUCUUACCUAACAUUCCGGAUGCCUCGAGCCACAUGCCGCCAACCCCAUUAAAUGCCUCAGGCUCAGGUUUUGUACCACCUAAAGACACUUUGCCAGCUCUGUUAAACCAGUAUCUCAUCUCAGUGGGCAAAAAUCCGAUGGAUGCAGAUAAGAUGUUUUGUCUUUUUCCUUUUUUAGCAGAUCUAACAUCGGUGGAAGGAAGAACGAAAGAUAAGAAAGUGGAAAUGGGUAGCCAUGACUUUAAUGGGCCUGAUCUUAAUGGACUUUCACCUUCUGAUUUGAAAACUAUAAAUGGACCUCAUGAGAGCCUUAGCCAACAAGAAAUGCAAAGCUCAACCCUUCCUUCUUUAGACCAACAAAAGCCCAGCCUUACUUUCUAUCCAUCCCUGGAAAGACUGGAGAAUACCCAAAAGAAACAAUUAGAGCCCAAUUGCAAUGAUAAGCAGAGCAAUCAGCUUACUCCAAAAGGAAGUGUCAAUUCUCUUAAGGUUGGAGAAGACAACAAACGCAUUUAUGGCAGAGCAUGGAGUGAAAGAAAAUAAGAUUUCCUAUCGAAAUGUCCGAUACUCUCUAUCCAUCGCAAAAUCAUAGGCCCUGAAGAAUUCUUACCCUUGGAUCAAUUAUGUGAACUUGCUGCUGUUCUUGUCAAUAAUUUUAAGUCGUAUGAUCAAAAUGGGAGGAAUUUUGCAAUUCAAAGGUAGAGAAAUCAACAGCAGGAUAGCAAGGAAGAUGUGAGUGUAAGAAAGAGCAGAAACUGAAAAAGACAUGCACGACAAAAUACAAGAGUGGUUAUCAGAGAACUAAC